CAGUUUUACACAUCGUAAUAUUUUUGUAUUUCAAAAAAAAAUUUAAUGUGUGAAAUUGGUAG
rnacentral:pre_miRNA from 1 species